rnacentral:rRNA from 1 species
CCUACGGGAGGCAGCAGUCGAGAAUCUUCGGCAAUGGGCGCAAGCCUGACCGAGCGACGCCGCGUGCGGGAUGAAGGUCUUCGGAUUGUAAACCGCUGUCGGAGGGGAUGAAAUGCAUGGGGGUACUCCCCUGUGUUUGACAGAGCCUCGGAGGAAGCACGGGCUAAGUUCGUGCCAGCAGCCGCGGUAAUACGAACUGUGCGAACGUUAUUCGGAAUCACUGGGCUUAAAGGGUGCGUAGGCGGCGACUCAAGUCAGGUGUGAAACUCCCCCGGGCUCAACCGGGGAACAGCGCUUGAAACUGGGUUGCUCGAGUGAGGCAGGGGUGUAUGGAACUUCCGGUGGAGCGGUGAAAUGUGUAGAUAUCGGAAGGAACGCCGGCGGCGAAAGCGGUACACUGGGCCUUGUCUGACGCUGAGGCACGAAAGCUAGGGGAGUGAACGGGGAUUAGAUACCCCGGGUAAUCCUAGCCCGUAAACACUGAGCACGUGGGAGGGGACGGGUCCUUGGCCGUCCCCUUUCCCGUCGCGACGCGAGAGUACGUUAAGUGCGUCCGUCCGUCGGGUAGGUAGUGGUCGCGACGGCGUAGAAACGUUAAAAGGUAAGUUAGACGGCGUGAGACGUCGCCGACGGACGACGACGAGGGAGGUUAGG